rnacentral:lncRNA from 1 species
UGUUUAUUGCACCUGCACCCCUUCACCUAACACACACACACACACACACACACUCACUCUCUCUCUCUCUCUCUCUCUCUCACACACACACACACACACACACAAAAUUUCAAUAUAAAGACACUUUUUAGACGACGCUUAGAAGAAACGUUUUUACAAUACAGUAAAUACCGAUACUUCAAAAAGCGUCGUUAUAUAAACUUUCUAUUGCAUAAAACUAAUUUAUUAAAUAAUACUCUCUCUCUCUCUCUCUCUCACACACACACAAAAUUUCAAUAUAAAGACAUUUUUUAGACGACGCUAAUUAGAAGAAACGUCUCUACAAUACAGUAAAUACCGAUAUUUCAAAAAGCGUCAUUGUAUGAACUUUCUAUUGCAUAAAACUAAUUUAUUAAAUGAUAAAUUUUAUUAUUAUUUUUAAUUUUUCGACGCUUUAAAAUAUUAGUAUUUUAAAAAUUUCUAAGGCUUAAUUUAGGGCGUAAGAAUAUAUAUAUUUUAUUGAUGCUUGGCAUAAGCGUCGAUAUAUACGUGCUUCACUUUCGAAUAUGACGUUAGAUUAUUCUGGGACGUUUUUAAUUAUCAUUAAAUAUAAAAAAAGUAUCAUUAAAUGUUA